rnacentral:rRNA from 1 species
UACGUAGGGUGCAAGCGUUGUCCGGAAUUAUUGGGCGUAAAGAGCUCGUAGGCGGUUUGUCGCGUCUGCUGUGAAAACUGGAGGCUCAACCUCCAGCCUGCAGUGGGUACGGGCAAACUAGAGUGCGGUAGGGGAGAUUGGAAUUCCUGGUGUAGCGGUGAAAUGCGCAGAUAUCAGGAGGAACACCGGUGGCGAAGGCGGGUCUCUGGGCAACAACUGACGCUGAGGAGCGAAAGCGUGGGGAGCGAACAGG